GGCAAGUGGUGUAGUGGUUAGAGUGUUGGACUAGGACCUGGGAGACCAGGGUUCAAAUCCCUGCUCAGUCA
rnacentral:tRNA from 1 species